rnacentral:rRNA from 1 species
GUACAAGGCCAUACCACCCUGAAUGCACCCGAUCUCAUCUGAUCUCAGAGGCUAAGCAGAGCUGGGCCUGGUUAGCACUCAAUGGAAGGAAAGAGGCAGUAGUGUAUG